rnacentral:rRNA from 1 species
AGGUUGGCUCAGAAGCAGCCAUCCUUUAAAGAGUGCGUAACAGCUCACUAGUCGAGUGACCCUGCGCCGAAAAUGUACCGGGGCUAAGCCUGAUACCGAAACUGCGGAUUGUAGGAAACUAUAGUGGUAGGGGAGCGUUGUAUACGAGCAGAAGCCGUACCGUGAGGAGCGGUGGAUUGUAUAGAAGUGAGAAUGCCGGUGUGAGUAGCGAGAUGUAGGUGAGAAUCCUACACACCGAAAGCCCAAGGAUUCCAGGGGAAGGUUCGUCCGCCCUGGGUAAGUCGGGACCUAACGCGAGGCCGAAAGGCGUAGUGGAUGGAAAGCAGGCGAAAGAUUCCUGCACCCGUAUAUGGAGCGAAGGAGUGACGGAGACGGAUAGUGUGACCCUCUUAAUGGAUUGAGGGCGAAGCGAAGCGGCUGGUUACCAGGCAAAUCCGGUAACCAUAAGGCUAGAGCGUGACAGGUAAGCGAAAUCUUAGGAAAGUAGCGAAGCACAUGAUGACGGCUUCCAGGAAAAGCUUCUGGCAAUGCAUAUGCGGCCCGUACCAAAACCGACACAGGUGGGCAGGGAGAGAAUCCCGAGGUGAGCGAGAGAACUGUUGCCAAGGAACUCGGCAAAAUGACUCCGUAAGUUAGCGAGAAGGAGUGCUUAAGCAAUUAAGCCGCAGUGAAGAGGCCCAAGCGACUGUUUAACUAAAACACAGCUCUCUGCGAAGUCGCAAGACGAAGUAUAGGGGGUGACACCUGCCCGGUGCUGGAAGGUUAAGAGGAUCUGUUAAGAGCGAUCUGAAGCAGUGAUCCGAAGCCCCAGUGAACGGCGGCCGUAACUAUAACGGUCCUAAGGUAGCGAAAUUCCUUGUCAGGUAAGUUCUGACCCGCACGAAAGGUGUAACGAUUUGGGCGCUGUCUCGGCAGCAGACUCGGUGAAAUCUUAGUACCUGUGAAAAUGCAGGUUACCCGCAACUAGACGGAAAGACCCCAUGGAGCUUUACUGCAGCCUGAUAUUGAAUUCUGGUCAUACAUGUACAGGAUAGGUGGGAGACAAAGAGACGUGCACGCCAGUGUACGAGGAGUCGACGUUGGGAUACCACUCUUGUGUGACCGGGGUUCUAACCUGGUAUCGAGAACAGGUACGGGGAGAGUGUCAGGUGGGCAGUUUGACUGGGGCGGUCGCCUCCCAAAGAGUAACGGAGGCGCCCAAAGGUACGCUCAGAUUGGAUGGAAACCAAUCGUCGAGUGCAAUUGCAGAAGCGUGCUUGACUGUGAGACAGACAAGUCGAACAGGGACGAAAGUCGGGAAUAGUGAUCCGGCGGUGCCGAAUGGAAGGGCCGUCGCUCAACGGAUAAAAGCUACCCUGGGGAUAACAGGCUGAUCUCGCCCAAGAGUUCACAUCGACGGCGAGGUUUGGCACCUCGAUGUCGGCUCAUCGCAUCCUGGAGGUGAAUUCGCUUCCAAGGGUUGGGCUGUCCGCCCAUUAAAGCGGUACGCGAGCUGGGUUCAGAACGUCGUGAGACAGUUCGGUCCCUAUCUGUUGUGGGCGAAGGAGAUCUGCGGAGAGCUGUCCUCAGUACGAGAGGACCGGGAUGGACCUACCGCUGGUGCACCGGUUGUUCCGCCAGGGGCAUAGCCGGGUAGCUAAGUAGGGAAAGGAUAAGCGCUGAAAGCAUCUAAGCACGAAGCCUACUCCAAGAUGAGAUCUCCCAUUCGCAAGAAGUAAGACCCCUUAAAGACGAUAAGGUAGAUAGGCCAGGGAUGGAAGUGCAGUGAUGUACGGAGUUGACUGGUACUAAUCGGUCGAGGACUUAAUCAG